CAGGUUAGAGUAGGAUUGGUAAUACGCCUCUUUUGGGAAGAGGAGAUACUCUGUUCGACCCAGAGUAACCUGA
rnacentral:tRNA from 1 species